UCUCUGGACCUGGCUACUGCUCCAGACAUGACGAACCCACACUCUGUCCUCAUCGCUUCAGAGGAACAACUCAAGGUGUUCAGUCUUCCUAAGGUCGGUGCGAAGACCAAGUUCAAGCUGACGGCUCAUGAGGGUUGUCGUGUGCGGAGGGUUGCCAUGGUGACGGUGUGUUCCACAGCCCAGGAGGACUACAGUGAGACCAGUCUGGUCUGUCUGACCAACCUUGGAGACCUGCACUUGUUUAACGUACCUGCCCUACGGCCUCAGGUACGUUAUGACUGUAUCCGUAAAGAGGACAUCAGUGGCAUCGCUUCCUGUGUCUUCACAAAGAACGGGCAGGGGUUCUACCUGAUCUCUCCAUCAGAGUACCAGCGUUUCUCCCUGUCAGCUAAAGUCAUCACAGAACCUCUGUGUACUGUGGAGCUGGAGAGACCUCUGGAGACCAGGUCACUACACACUAACAUCAGGUCACUACACACACUAACAUCAGGUCACUACACACACUAACAUCAGGUCACUACACACACUAACAUCAGGUCACUACACACACUAACAUCAGGUCACUACACACACUAACAUCAGGUCACUACACACACUAACACCAGGUCACUACACACACUAACAUCAGGUCACUACACACACUAACAUCAGGUCACUACACACACUAACAUCAGGUCACUACACACACUAACAUCAGGUCACUACACACACUAACACCAGGUCACUACACACACUAACAUCAGGUCACUACACACACUAACAUCAGGUCACUACACACACUAACAUCAGGUCACUACACACACUAACAUCAGGUCACUACACACACUAACAUCAGGUCACUACACACACUAACAUCAGGUCACUACACACACUAACAUCAGGUCACUACACACACUAACAUCAGGUCACUACACACACUAACACCAGGUCACUACACACACUAACAUCAGGUCACUACACACACUAACAUCAGGUCACUACACACUAACAUCAGGUCACUACACACACUAACAUCAGGUCACUACACACUAACAUCAGGUCACUACACACUAACAUCAGGUCACUACACACACUAACAUCAGGUCACUACACACACUAACAUCAGGUCACUACACACACUAACAUCAGGUCACUACACACACUAACACCAGGUCACUACACACUAACAUCAGGUCACUACACACACUAACAUCAGGUCACUACACACACUAACAUCAGGUCACUACACACACUAACAUCAGGUCACUACACACACUAACAUCAGGUCACUACACACACUAACAUCAGGUCACUACACACACUAACAUCAGGUCACUACACACACUAACACCAGGUCACUACACACACUAACAUCAGGUCACUACACACACUAACACCAGGUCACUACACACACUAACAUCAGGUCACUACACACACUAACAUCAGGUCACUACACACACUAACAUCAGGUCACUACACACACUAACACCAGGUCACUACACACACUAACAUCAGGUCACUACACACACUAACAUCAGGUCACUACACACACUAACAUCAGGUCACUACACACACUAACAUCAGGUCACUACACACUAACAUCAGGUCACUACACACACUAACAUCAGGUCACUACACACACUAACAUCAGGUCACUACACACACUAACACCAGGUCACUACACUACUCAACCAAGUCUAACACCAGCCUCAGAUUAUUAGAUAUAUGGCACCCUUUCAGAUUGACAUUCAUCAGUCAGAUCAUUCAAGCACCACGUUAACCUUUUUCUGCAAAGAUUGAGGCUAUACUUUUGUAGUCCAGGUCCAGCUGAACGUCGGACGAAAAGUUGAAAAAAGUUAUAUUACAGGUCGUAGAAACUUGUCAAACUAAGUAUAGAAUCAAUCUUUAGGAUGUUUUUAUCAUACAUCUUCAAUAAAGUUCCAACCGGAGAAUUCCAUUGUCUGUAGAAAAGCAAUGGAACGAGAGCAAACACUCUCGUGAGCGCGCGACACGAGCCUGUGGCACUCGGCCGGACACCUGGCUCAAUCCCCUCUCAUUCAGCUCCCCUUCCUAGUAGAAGCCUCAAACACAGUUCUAAAGACUGUUAUCUGCUGUUCUUUUUGCCCUUUUCACGCCAUUGUUUCCUGGACCGAAUGAAGGCUCCUCGUAAAAUCAUUCAAUUUAGCUUCCUCAUUAAGAUCAAGAUGCUCAAUUUUU